UACGUAGGGUGCAAGCGUUAAUCGGAAUUACUGGGCGUAACGCGUGCGCAGGCGGCUUUGCAAGACAGAUGUGAAAUCCCCGGGCUCAACCUGGGAACUGCAUUUGUGACUGCAUGGCUGGAGUGCGGCAGAGGGGGAUGGAAUUCCGCGUGUAGCAGUGAAAUGCGUAGAUAUGCGGAGGAACACCGAUGGCGAAGGCAAUCCCCUGGGCCUGCACUGACGCUCAUGCACGAAAGCGUGGGGAGCAAACAGG
rnacentral:rRNA from 1 species